AGGAGGCGAACGUUAUCCGGAUUUACUGGGCGUAAAGCGCGUGUAGGUGGUUCUGUAAGUAGGGCGUGAAAGCUCCCGGCUCAACUGGGAGAGGCCGUUCUAAACUGUAGAACUAGAGGAUGGUAGAGGGAGGUGGAAUUCCAGGUGUAGCGGUGGAAUGCGCAGAUAUCUGGAGGAACACCAGUGGCGAAGGCGGCCUCCUGGACCAUUCCUGACACUCAGACGCGAAAGCUAGGGUAGC
rnacentral:rRNA from 1 species